rnacentral:rRNA from 1 species
ACACUCCUACGGGAGGCAGCAGUGGGGAAUUUUGGACAAUGGGCGAAAGCCUGAUCCAGCAAUGCCGCGUGAGUGAAGAAGGCCUUCGGGUUGUAAAGCUCUUUUGUCAGGGAAGAAACGGUGAGAGCUAAUAUCUUUUGCUAAUGACGGUACCUGAAGAAUAAGCACCGGCUAACUACGUGCCAGCAGCCGCGGUAAUACGUAGGGUGCAAGCGUUAAUCGGAAUUACUGGGCGUAAAGCGUGCGCAGGCGGUUUUGUAAGUCUGAUGUGAAAUCCCCGGGCUCAACCUGGGAAUUGCAUUGGAGACUGCAAGGCUAGAAUCUGGCAGAGGGGGGUAGAAUUCCACGUGUAGCAGUGAAAUGCGUAGAUAUGUGGAGGAACACCGAUGGCGAAGGCAGCCCCCUGGGUCAAGAUUGACGCUCAUGCACGAAAGCGUGGGGAGCAAACAGGAUUAGAAACCCGAGUAGUCCCAU